CAGUGUCACCCUCUGACUCCGGUCCCCGCAUACGCGAUCCUGUUUAGGAACUAGUCAUUUGGCGCGGAGUUCGGUUGAAUGAGACUUUUUCCUGCGGAGAAGUUAGGUUGGCAGCACAGACUUGUGAGAGGAGGUAGAUGAGAAAGAGUGAACAUCUUUGGCUCUUGUUUAGCCGGAAUAUGAAAAUAAUUCUGGAAAGUACUCUCUGGUACCAGGGGGUGGGCAGAAGCUGGCUCCUGUAAAAGGACUCCUGGAGGAAAACGGAGACCUGUAAUGUAGAGCCACCGCCCGCUUCACCUUACGGAUGGGAAGCUGAGGACAGUCGUCGCCUUAAAACUGACAGGUGCCCAAUAGGAGAUGAGAAGAAAAAAGGAACUGAUCCGUCCUUAGGCCAUUGUGUGAGAAGGGUAAACAGAAAUCGGGAGAAGUCCAGUGAGAACACAAGGCAGAGAGGGGCACACUGAGCCUGAGGGAACAUGUCAGAGCAUCCCUGAGGAGGUGACAUGCCUAAUUCUGUUGAGGACUGUAGGAAAAGCAUUCUUUACCAGGUUGAGGUAUUGGAGUGUGGGCAACGUGAGGGCAGAUGAGUUAAGAAUCGAAGAAUGGCUUGCCUAGCAAGCACAAGGCCCUGGGUUCAGUCCCCAGCUCCGAAAAAAAGAAAAAAAGAAUUGAAGACUGGAACCGGGAUAUGUUCAGCAGCUUUUUGUGCUGUUGGGAUUUAUUUUUGUCUUUGAAGCCUCAGGAGAGAACCACCCCUUUGAAACUGGCUAGUAAGUUAUGUGAGAGACAGUAAAGGAGAAGAAUUUUUGUAUGAGAAACAUGAACGUUUUCGUUGUCUAAAAGAGCUGGGGACCGAACCCAGGGCCUUGCGCAUGCUAGGCAAGCACUCAACCACUGAGCUAAAUCCUCAACCCUGCAGCAACUGUUCUUAAACAACGAACUAUGUUACCAUCUCCAACUUCUGUAUCUUAUUCUACUAGGUAUGAGAACUAUGCCAGAAUUUAGAUAGCAGGAUUAUUAAUAAUUUUAUCUUUAUUAUAUUAUUAUAAUUGAUUUUUUUUUGAGACAGGGUCUUGUGUAGCCCAGACUGACCUCAAACUCACUAUGUGGCUGAAGAUGACCUCAAACUCCUGAUUCUUGGCCUUACCCUCCCAAGUGCUAAGAUUAUAAGCGUGUGCCAACAUGACUAGUUUAUUCAUAUAAGGAUUAAAUGUAGGGCUUCAUGCAUACUAGGCAAGCUCUCUGUCAACUGAGCUACCUCCCUAGCCCCUACAAUUGACAACUAACAUGGCAGCUAACAUUCAACUGAAACAAAAUUCUUCAGUCCCAUUAUUUACAUAUAACCAGUACUGACUUCCAGCAGGUAAAACCUCUCCCUAUCAGAUCAUACAUAGACUGUUUUCAAAAUAUUUUCUAAUCCAAUUUUCACAGAUUCGUGAAAGGCUCAAGAGCUUUAACAUACUGUAAAUACUCUUAAAUCAAUCCCUCAUACCCAGAAGAGUAUCUGGAAGACAUAGGAAUUCCUAGCCUGGUGGGUUUUGAUUUUUGACUUGGUGUUGAUUGAACCCAAGUUUUCAUGUUCACAAAGCCUGUAAUGCCCCUUAUCUAUCUCUAGACUGUAUUUGCAGCUCACUCACUUUAUUAUACAUUACCCAAGGCAUAGCAUUUCAAUCUGAAAACAACUUCUCCUUUCCCCUGGGUAAGGAAAAAAUCCUCUUACACAUUUCUGUAUUAAACGACACUGCAGAGCCCAACAGUAAGACAGGUUCCUAUCUGAAAACAUCUGCACUGGAGAUCUCAAGCUAACAGGAGGCCUGAGGUGAUGUGUGAUGUAUGCACUAGUGCACCAGAGGCCUGAGGUGAUGUGUGCGCUAGUGCACCAGAGGCCUGAGGUGAUGUGUGAUGUAUGCACUAGUGCACCAGAGGCCCGAGGUGAUGUGUGCGCUAGUGCACCAGAGGCCCAAGGUGAUGUGUGCGCUAGUGUACCAGAGGCCCGAGGUGAUGUGUGCGCUAGUGUACCAGAGGCCCGAGGUGAUGUGUGCACUAGUAUACCAGAGGCCUGAGGUGAUGUGUGCACUAGUGUACCAGAGGCCUGAGGUGAUGUAUGCACUAGUGCACCAGAGGCCCGAGGUGAUGUGUGCGCUAGUGUACCAGAGGCCCGAGGUGAUGUGUGCACUAGUAUACCAGAGGCCUGAGGUGAUGUGUGCGCUAGUGUACCAGUGUUCACUGGCAGUAGAGGACAGGGCUGAAUUGUCCUGGGACCUUUUAAUCCCACCCAAGCCCAACCUCUCUUAGGGUUGGCAUUGUUUUGAGGAGGCUUGAAGAGAAAAUGAGUAAGAGUUUGCAACUUGAGGUUGUAUAAGCAGAUUGGAGUUCAGCUAAUGUUUCUAUUUAAGGUCUCUAAUAAACAGUGCAUUUUAUAAAUCUUUGAAGUGCUCCCCAUCCCUUUUGGUGACAGGGUCUUGCUACAUGAGACAGGUUAUCCUUGAUCCUCCUGUCUCAAGUAUCCUUUGUUGGUUUUCCCCUCAUACAUCUUUACUGUGUGUGAAUACACAUACACAUGUCCUUGUGUGUAUAGAGGUCAGAGGAUGACAACUUGAGAGAGCUGGUGUUCACAUGGUUCUGGGGACCGAACUCAGGUCUUUAAGUUUGGUGAUAAGCGCUGUAACCUGGUGAACUACUUCAUGAGCCCUAAAGUGCCUGGCCUUAAAAUAAUCCUCCAGUUCCUUGUCCCCACAGGAGGAAAAAAAAAUCACCACUUGUUUUCUUUCACUCUUAAAACUGC
ensembl:lncRNA